rnacentral:rRNA from 1 species
GACGAACGCUGGGCGGCGUGCCUAAUACAUGCAAGUCGAGCCGGACAGAAGGGAGCUUGCUCCCGGAUGUUAGCGGCGGACGGGUGAGUAACACGUGGGUAACCUGCCUGUAAGACUGGGAUAACUCCGGGAAACCGGAGCUAAUACCGGAUAGUUCCUUGAACCGCAUGGUUCAAGGAUGAAAGACGGUUUCGGCUGUCACUUACAGAUGGACCCGCGGCGCAUUAGCUAGUUGGUGAGGUAACGGCUCACCAAGGCGACGAUGCGUAGCCGACCUGAGAGGGUGAUCGGCCACACUGGGACUGAGACACGGCCCAGACUCCUACGGGAGGCAGCAGUAGGGAAUCUUCCGCAAUGGACGAAAGUCUGACGGAGCAACGCCGCGUGAGUGAUGAAGGUUUUCGGAUCGUAAAGCUCUGUUGUUAGGGAAGAACAAGUGCAAGAGUAACUGCUUGCACCUUGACGGUACCUAACCAGAAAGCCACGGCUAACUACGUGCCAGCAGCCGCGGUAAUAC